GUCUGGUGCCAGCAGCCGCGGUAAUUCCAGCUCCAAUAGCGUAUAUUAAAGUUGUUGCAGUUAAAAAGCUCGUAGUUGAACCUUGGGCCUGGUUGGCCGGUCCGCCUCACCGCGUGCACUGGUCCGACCGGGUCUUUCCUUCUGGGGAGCCGCAUGCCCUUCACUGGGUGUGUCGGGGAACCAGGACUUUUACUUUGAAAAAAUUAGAGUGUUCAAAGCAGGCCUAUGCUCGAAUACAUUAGCAUGGAAUAAUAGAAUAGGACGUGUGGUUCUAUUUUGUUGGUUUCUAGGACCGCCGUAAUGAUUAAUAGGGAUAGUCGGGGGCAUCAGUAUUCAAUUGUCAGAGGUGAAAUUCUUGGAUUUAUUGAAGACUAACUACUGCGAAAGCAUUUGCCAAGGAUGUUUUCAUUAAUCAGUGAACGAAAGUUAGGGGAUCGAAGACGAUCAGAUACCGUCGUAGUCUUAACCAUAAACUAUGCCGACUAGGGAUCGGGCGAUGUUAUCUUUUUGACUCGCUCGGCACCUCACGAGAAAUCAAAGUCUUUGGGUUCUGGGG
rnacentral:rRNA from 8 species